CUCUGCGGGGAGCAGGGGCGGCGCUGACCGGGUGCCAGGGUCCCCGGAGCCCGCGACUCCUCCCCACCGCCAACCUCCAGGCCGCUUCACGGGCUCCUGGACAAAGUGGCAGGGCAGCAGCUUUCUGUUCCUGGGCCCCGGCUGGCCCCUGACCACAGCUAAGGACUGUCCCGCCAGAACCUUCCCACUCGGGGCUGAGCCUUGAAGCACCGAGUCCCGUGGGCCUCGGCUGUCCCUGAACUCUUCGUCUCCUCCUCCACCUCCUUCUUUUGCUUUGAGACACGGUCUCAAGGAGUUCCUGCGUUGCUAAAUUAGUUUCCCAGGUCCGACUAGAGCUUGCAGUCCUCCUGCAUCAGCCUCCCACCGUACCGGGAUUAAAGACCCACACCACGAACCUUCCUGGGUUUUCUCACCCCGACAUGGGAGGUUACUAAACAGGUGACACCCUGCCCAGGAGGGGUUCAGUGGCUUGGAAAGGAGGGCCUGCUGAGGUCCACGAUGGUGAGAUGGUGCGAUGGUGCCGGGGCUGAGGCAGCCAGAGCUACUUCCCGCGGAUCCCGAAGGAGCAGGGCCUCACGGGUCCCCGGGGAAAGAAGCUGCAGGGGCAGCGGGGGCUGGGCAGGCACAGCCAGGCUGUUUCUCUGUCAGCCUGACCCACUGUGCCACACCCAGCUCAGAUGUGCCCUCCUCAGGGAAGCCUUCCUGGCCUCUUUCUCUUCCCCACUGCAGUGCGCUCCCUUCUGGGUCAGUGUCUUGAAUACACCGUUUACUGUGUGUUUUGCAGGCUGGGAAUUAGACAGAUUUCCUGCCGACCUUCUGAACGUGAAUGUGAGGAAAGGCUGCCCGCCUGACGGGUAAGGUCCGUACAUCCUAAGAGGCACAGGAGCCCCAAGGUGCCUCCACAGGAUGUAGGCAGGGUGAGCAGAGCUGAGUCUGGGGACCCAUGACAUGUGGCAGUGUGUUCACAGCUGUGCUACCAAGUAAGGAGGCCACCUGAAGGCCAUCGCACUGUUUUGGUCUUCAGUCUUUCACCAUUUCUCUGGGACUGAUGUAAGCUGUUUGUGCAGCCAUGUUCUAACUUCAAAUGAGCUAAAUAUAUCUGAAAUUGCUCUGAAAUAAUAAAGUCCAUACAGAAUGUAACUACACUAGUGAGUGAAAUGAAAGACAAAAUAAAAGUUCUGUCUCCUCCAAAA